GACGAACGCUGGCGGCGUGCCUAAUACAUGCAAGUCGAACGCUUCCUACCGGUGCUUGCACCGGGAAAGAAGAGUGGCGGACGGGUGAGUAACACGUGGGAAACCUACCUACAAGCGGGGGAUAACAUUCGGAAACGGAUGCUAAUACCGCAUAGAUCUUUUUGUCUCCUGGCAGAAAGAAGAAAGACGGUUUCGGCUGUCACUUGUAGAUGGACCCGCGGCGCAUUAGUUAGUUGGUGAGGUAAUGGCUCACCAAGACGAUGAUGCGUAGCCGACCUGAGAGGGUGAUCGGCCACACUGGGACGGAGACACGGCCCAGACUCCUGCGGGAGGCAGCAGUAGGGAAUCUUCCGCAAUGGACGAAAGUCUGACGGAGCAACGCCGCGUGAGUGAAGAAGGUUUUCGGAUCGUAAAACUCUGUCGUUAGAGAAGAACAAGGAUGAGAGUAACUGCUCGUCCCUUGACGGUAUCUAACCAGAAAGCCAUGGCUAACUACGUGCCAGCAGCCGCCGUAA
rnacentral:rRNA from 1 species